rnacentral:lncRNA from 1 species
AGAAUCAAAAAGGUGCUGUUCCUGCUGCUGUAGCUGUAAACGGACAGGACAACCUUGUCACUGGGACUAAUGGAAGUACUGAGGACAGUAGGGUGGAUAAAGAGAACGGACAAUACAACAGAGCUGAUUUUCCUAUAACAUAUGCUGAUGCCAAGUUUUUUAUUAUAAAGUCUUACAGUGAAGACGAUGUUCAUAAGAGUGUCAAGUACAAUGUGUGGUCAAGUACACAAAAUGGAAACAAGAAGCUUGAUGCAGCGUACCAUGAAGCGCAGCAGAAUUCUGGCCACUGCCCCGUCUUUCUGCUUUUCUCGGUGAGCUCUCUGGAUACAAACUUACUUUUUACUGGAACAUGAAUUGUAUUCAUAUAUUUAUGUCAGUAUUCUUCUUCUGAAAUGUCCAGGUUAAUACUAGUGGACAAUUUCUUGGUGUUGCGGAGAUGUCAGGGCCAGUUGAUUUUGACAAGAAUCUUGAGUAUUGGCAACAAGACAAGUGGGUUGGCUGUUUCCCCGUAAAGUGGCACAUUGUGAAGGAUGUGCCUAACAGUGUGUUGAAGCACAUUACCCUUGAGAACAAUGAGAACAAACCUGUAACCAACAGCAGGGAUACCCAAGAGGUGGGUGGUUUUCAUAGUUCGUUUCUUUAUAUAUCUACUGUGGAAAUCGUACUCAUGGAAAUGAUUUAAUGUCUGCAGGUAAAAUUGGAGCAGGGACUUCAAUUGCUCAAAAUAUUUCAGGAUUAUACUAGUGAACGAACCCUGCUGGAUGAUUUUGAUUUCUACGAGGAGCGUCAAAAGAGGAUCCAGGAUAGAAAAUCUAAGCAACAGUUGAUUCAGAAACAGGUAUGACUUACAUAUUUACAUGUAUUUUAUAUUGAUAUCAUCUUUGAAGUCGGUCUUCUCUUAUAAAUUAUUAUUUUGAAAUGAAAAUAAAAAUUACUCAACUUCAUGCUCUGACCUCUUGACCUUGCAUAUGUUGUAUCCGCAGUUGGUGGAAGGAAAGCCUACUGAUGAAGCUACCAAAGAGGGCUCAAAUGUAGAAGUGACAACUGAAAAGUCGGUAGAUGUUCCUUCAAACUUAACAAAAAGUUCUACCCGGUCUGUUUUUGCUAUUGGGGAUGCAAAGGUUGAAAAUGUUGCAGCUGUUGAAGCUCAAGAGGUUAGUAAACCAGUAACAGUGACAGCGAAGGAAUUGGUGUCUAAUGGGGUUGCCAACGGUUGCUAAAUUUGCAAUGCACAGAGAUGGUCAGGCUACAUUGCUGAACUUAAGGUUACCCUUUGUAGUCUGGUGUCUUUGUAACCUUGUGAUUUUGCAACAUAUACAGUGCGCAAGUGGUCGGUGAAAGUUUGGUUUUUGUGUCGUAGGCAGACUUAUGAUAUAUCAUCAGUACUCAGUACAAGUCUCUUUUCUCUGUUAUUUUUCUUUUUUUAUAGAAAAGAUUUUGUCUUUGUGACGGAUCAGUUUGAUUCUAUUUUGGAGUUUUUUUUGUCUAGUCUCAGUGUGGUGCUGUUGCUUCUAUGACUUCUAUGUUUCAGAGUUUUUCAUUAAUGAGGGUUGUUAAGAGUAAAUUGAUUUAGUUAAUGCUGAACUGAUACUACCAGACUACCAGUACUUGAUUACUUUCCGAAGCCCUUAUUUAUGUAGGAUUGUGUGUCACAUUGCUAGAACAAUUUUACAUGAUGCCAACUUUUAGAGGCUGUUUAUUUAGGGGAAUUUCAGGCUAGUUAGAAGGAAUUAGAUAGUGAUGACUGUAGUUAGGUGGUUGUGUUAAAGGAAUGAGAAUUUGAGUCCAGUUAACAUGAGUCUUUUGCAUUCUAUUUUUCAUCUAUAUUUUCGUCAAAACCUUUCCCUGGCUUCUUCUGCAUCCAAUAUUUAGUGUCUGUUGAUCUUCUCAUGGUAUCUGUAAGUUCUAUCCGCAAGUUUUUGAGUUCAUCUCUGACAUUUAUAUUAUUGUUAGUAAAUAUCGUAUGUGUCUGAAGUUGUAUAUUUAUGUGCAAAAUUGUGUAUGUAUAUGUGUUUUCUGGUCAUGGUGUAUUGUUUCAUCUUAAAAUAUAUAUAGAGGGUAAUACAAAAUGAUAAAUGGUAAUCUGCAUUCCUCUAUUCAUGUGUACUAAAAAUUGUCUUGUUGAGUAAAAUAAGUUUUUGUGUAUGCCCAUCCGCCUAUUUGAUGAUAGUCCUUGAGAAGCCUUUUGCAGACAGAUAUAUUAAAUAUUUUUUUUUAAUUAAGUACUCUGUAGUCAAAUGUGACGAGUUAAUGCAUUAUGUUCUCUUUGCGAUGUCCCUGUUAUAAUGACAAUUCUGUUCUCAAAUGUCAAUCUUGACAGGGUCUUUUUUGUGUGUAUGUUGCUGGUUUAUAUUGUAGAGUCUUUAGAAGGGCAGGUAGAACCUUUUGCUAUUGUACCAAUGUGAAUUCUCUUAACAAUAUGAUAACAAGAAUGACCUGCUUUUGAAAAGAAGGCUGUUGCCAUUGAGAGAGGUUUAUUGCCUUAAUCUGCUAAUGCUAACUCAGGGACAUCAAUAGUAGGUCAGAAUUCAAUUGUGGAAGUUGCCAAUACAGUUGAACAAUGCAGCAGAACUUGUUUCCUAGUAUGUAAGUUGUGGACCGCUGAAGAAGAGGGAAGUCUCAAGGUUCCCCGGCUAGAUUUAUAUCUGCCUGAUGCUGUCGAGAGAGUGUUUGAAGAUAUGAUUUCGACUAUAGUUUUGAAUCUUUUGAUGAGUAGCAAUGAUUCAUAUGAGGCUGAUAAUAGGUGCAUGAUACUAUUGGAGUUUUUGCCGUCUUAUGUUUAUUCUUGUUGAUUUUAUGUUUAUUCUUGUUGAUUCGGGCCAAAAAAAAAAUGGUUUGUUCUUGUUGAGAGUGUAGUGUAAGAAGUGCAAGUUCAUGUAAGCUUCUGCUUUUUCAAAGCAGUUCCAAGUGCCUGGAUAGGCAGAUAUGUAUGCUAGCUUCUUUUUUUUUCUUUCCCCGGGUCGGGUUUCUGGUUUGCUGCUGGGAUGAAAUUCCUGGGUUCAGCUUAAUAUGUAUAAAAUGAACAUGUACUGAUCUCGCAAGCGACCAUAUGCCGAGAAGUUCCAGUAUUUUAAAAAUAUGCUAAUAAUCAUCUAAGAACCGAAGCUUCUGAGCAAAUGUAUGACCACUAAUAGGGUUCAAAAUGGGGCGGGACUUCAUUUCUCAACCUCGCCACAUAUAUAUCUUCGCUGCCCUGCCCUAUCCCCCGUGAGGAUAUAAUUUUUAUCUCUAUCCCACCAGGUUUUUCAUUUCUCAACCUCGCCACAUAUAUAUUUUCGCUGCCCUGCCCUAUCCCCCGCGAGGAUAUAAUUUUUAUCCCUAUCCCACCAGGUUUUUAAAAUAUUUUUGCGAAACGGCCUCGUCCUGCCUCGCUCUGCUCAUAUUUAUUUUAGAUAAUUGCUUAAAAUGAUAGUAAUUUUUUUGAGAAAUAAUAAAAAUAUACAAUACAUGUAUACUAGAAAUAUGUUCAUGUCACUUAGCCAAAAAAUAAAUAUAUUCAUGCAUGUUAAAUUAGAAUAACAAUAUAAUCAAGCAUAAUAAUUUUAAUAUAUAUAUAUAUAUAUAUAUAUGUAUGUAUGUAUAUAUGUAUGUAUGUAAAUGUAUGUAUGUAUAUAUGUAUGUAUGUAAAUGUAUGUAUGUAUAUAUAAAUCUAUUACAAAUAUUAUUUUUAAAUACAUAUAGUUUAAAAUUAUAUUUAUAUUGUCAUUCGUAAAUGUAUGUAUGUAUAUAUAAAUCUAUUACAAAUAUUAUUUUUAAAUACAUAUAGUUUAAAAUUAUAUUUAUAUUGUCAUUCAAAAGUAUAUUUUUUGAAUGUAUAAAUUACACAAACCACUCGAACCGUACCACACCGCACCGCAAUUUUUUGGUGUGGUUUACGUGGUUUUUAUAUUACAUGGUGUGGUUGCGGUUUACGAAUUUUCUCAAACCGUAUGAGCGGGUUGGUUCACGGUUUUUAAAAAAAACCGCACAGCCCGCACCUUGAACACCCCUAGCGUGAAUGGGAAAAAUGCCUUCAGAUCCACAAUUUAAAUACACAAUGCCCCAAAUGUCUCUGCCUAGGAAAAACGCCCACACUAUCACUUCAAAACACAACUUCAAGUUGCGUUUUACAUUUUUCAAUAAAACGCAACAUGAAGUCACGUUUUGGCGUUUUCUUUAUUUAAAUAAACAUAAACGUACACGAAAUUACGUUUUAAUGACUAGAAACGUAACACGAAAUUACGUUUUAGGUAUUUAUUUAUAAAAAUAUUUGAUAUGAUAAGUGAAAGUGAAAAACAAGGUCUUCAUAAGCAACCAUAAUGGCUGUUAGAGGGGUUCAAAAUUACGAUAGUAGAGUGUGGUUUAAGCGAGAUUGAGUUAACGGGUGGCGGAUUUACAUGGGAAAAGAGCAGAGGUACAAAAGAUUGGGUAAGGGAAAGAUUGGAUCGUGCUUUCGCUUCGUUUAGAUGGUGGCAAAUAUUCCCUCUGUGUAUUCUAGCUAUGCACCACACUAUCUACUCGGAUCACGACCCAAUUUAGUUGGAGCUGGUAGGUGAUACUCAUUCAAAAAAAAUAAUUCCGUUUUCGUUUUGAAAACACUUGGCUUAAGGAAAAGUCUUUUCACGAGGAGGUCUCAAUGUACUGGUCGAGAUUAGGCUCGAUUCACUUCUUACCAAAAAUCCUGGACCUCUCCUCAUUUAUGGAGAAAUGGAGUCGAAGGUUCUUUAACGAAUUCCGAGAGAAAAUUCGAAAACAAAAGGAAGUUUUGAGUUUAUUUGAAGGUUGUGAAAAUGACGAGCAGACAAAGAAAUACUUUGAGGAGAGAAGUAAAUCGGAGGACUUGUUAAUUCAUGAAGAAGCAUAUUGGAAACAACGAGCGAAGUCUUUUUCGUUAACGGAAGGUGACUCUAAUUCUAAAUUCUUUCACGCCUAUGCUACUACGAGGAAAUAAAGAAGUAAUAUUACUCAGUUAGUGAAUGAUGAUGGUGAGAUAAUGACUGAUCAAGAAGGUAUGUGUAGUGUGGUUAAGAACUACUUUGAACAACUAUUUGGUCAAGCAGGUAAUAGUCAAGAUGCGGGAAAUAUCAACACUGAAGUAGUAGUUUCAGAAGAGCUGAAUAACAGACUGACUGAGAAGUUCACGUUCGAGAAAUUUUCCACAGCUGUUAGACAAAUGCAACCUGAUAAAUGCAAGAUCUGACAGUCUCAAUCUGAACAUUCCAAAUGUGAUUAUUGAGUCCGAUUCAAUGCUUACUGUGCAGGCCAUUAAUAAGAACUCAGAAAAUUUGCUGGAGGUAAGAAAUGUGUUGCACGAAUGUUCCUCUCUUCUUAGCACUCAGCAGGACAUUAGCUUCUCGUUUGUUAGAAAGAAGGCCAAAAACGUAGCCCAUAUGCUAGCUAAGGUUCCGUGUGAGGUCAAUUGCUAUAAUGAAUUUUAUUCUCCUCCACAUUCUAUGUUGGAGACUCUCUUGUAUGAAGCAGCUUUGAAUUAAUAUAUUCCCCCAUUUUCAAAAAAAGGGAUUGAAGUUCCCAAAACCCUCGAGGCCCUAAACCCUCAAUCCCAAACACUAAUUAAUUCGAAGUUUUAGGGCCGUGAGGCCUAAAGCUUCGGAACAAAAUUAAAAAAUCAAUUUUAAAACAUACAUUAUUAGUUUUUAAUAUUUCAGGUUUCAUAUUUUGGCUUUAAGUUGAUUUAUUUAUACUUGAAAUUAAAAUAAUUUUAAAAUAUAAAAAAAUAUUAUUCAAAACACAACUUUAAGUUGCUUUCAGACUAUAAAACACAACUUAAACUUGCGUUCCGAGUAUUACUUUAUAAAAUAAAAAAACGACAAUCGAAGUCGCGUUUUGACUUAAAUACAAACCGAAGUUUCAAGUGAUAGUUAGCAACAUUUUUAGAGCGAUCUUGACAUAGAGGAUAUUUUCCCUCCUUUAUUUAUGGGGUUAAAUGUCAGAUUGGUCACUAUAGUGAAGGCCAUAUCUCACUUUAGUGACCCGACUUAACGGAGACUCACAUGCACCACUGUAGUAUUGGGUUAUCACAGAAACAUUAACUUUUUUAAUUACCCAGACGAAAAACAAAACGUGGUAGCCAUGACUUGGACAAGAUUGAUUAUGACCAUUUGACUGUCUUACGUGGCUAGAUACAACGGUAACUUGUCUGUGUGUAUAUAUAUCAGCCAGGGUUCUUAACAAAAACUGAAACAAAAAACAUAUCUUCUACAAGUUUGCUAAUAUGAAAACAUCUCCUACACCCAUUACACACUCUGGAACGAACUCUUUUUCUGGGGGGUCGGUGAAGAAGGAGGAGCACAGGACAUGCUUUUGUGGGAGACGAGCUAGAAUCUGCACUUCUUGGACUCUAAAAAAUCCGAGAAUACGGCUCUAUAAAUGUGCAACAUCUAAGGUAGUUUCUUACUUGUUUCUCACUAGUCCUUUUAUACUCUGGAUCACUAUCAUCACUAUAUUUGAACCAUCAAUUACUUCACCAAGAUCAAAAUGGUCUACAUAUAACUUUAUUCGACCAUAAGGCUUACAUAUAUUAAUCAAAUCCCUAACCAAAUUGUCAUCAUAAAUUACUCGCAUACUCUUUUCAAAGCUAUAUCCAUUACACGUAAAAUUGACUAGGGAGGAAGACACAUCAUAUGCAUAUUUUUCAGCAAACUCCUUAAGAUCACGAAAUGAAAAUGUAUCACAAUUGAAAUCUUUAAUUAUCUCAGUUUUGCCACCAACAUACUUAAUAUUAUGAGGAGGUGUAAAAUUACCGUGGUGAUGUAGGUAUAGAGUAGUUGUAGUAGACAUGUUGUAAACAAAUCGAACAUAUAUACAACCAUAUAUCAUAUAUCAAAGCAUUUACGCAAUUAAAGAGCAAAAAAACUAGGGUUUAUAGAUGUAAGAAAGGGGUGCAUACCUUCGAAUGGAGAGAGGUUAGAGCUCGCUUUGUCCACCGGUAUCAAAUUGAUUGCUUGAUUCAAUUACGAUUUAAUCCCCAAAUCGUACUUUUGAACCCUAAUUCGCCCCUAAUCACGACUACACUCGAACAUAAGAUUCUAAUAAUGUUAUUUCACUAAUAUAUUUUGGUAAUACAUUUAGACCCGGCUGAGUUGGACUCCGUAACUGCCACGUUUUAAAAAAAUGAAAGAAACGUUAGUUUAGCGAUGGUUCCCGUCAAGUCAACUAGUCAAACUAAGAUCCGUGUGAUAAUCUGUUACUACAGUGAUACAUGUGAGUUCUCAUUAAGUUGGGUCACUAAAGUGAGAGAUGGCUCUCACUUUAGUGACCAAUAUGAGAUUUAACCCUUUAUUUAUGUGCCACUCAGGUCAACACCCAGCGCGAACACCCCUGGUUUUAGAUAGAAAUCAAAAUCCCAAAAACCCAAUACAUCUCUCUCCGCCUCCGCUAUCCCAGUUUCUCUCUAGGGUUUUUCUCUUUCUAAAACCCUUUCGAUUCUCAGAUAUCUUACAUGGCUACUGGGUGUGCUCCUGCGGAGAGUAUGCAUCUCUACUCAUUUAUGUUUGUUUUCUUGUUGUGUAUAAGCUUUUAUGCUUGUGUAUACACUGUUCUUGAUGUGGGUUAUGUGCAGAUAAUAGAUACAGAUCUUUGUAUGUAUAAUCAUGUGCAAAGGUGGAUUCUUUCUUGUGUGAUCUGUUAGAAUAUAUGUUCUUUCACCUUCAGUUUCGUAGAUUUAUUUUUUGUUUGAUUAUCUUGUUUUGUCUUUUUCUGUUCUUGAUUCUUGUUGAAAAUUAUUGAUUUGUGUGAUGGAUAGUUGUGUAAUUGUUUUGAUUUUUUAAUUGGUGAUCUAGGGGUUUGUGUUUGAUUAAGGGUUUUUAGUUCUGAAUGUUGCACAUAUAGCUUUGUUGUUUUUCACGGUCUUUAUAUGCUGGUUUUGUAGAUGAUUUGCCUCUAAUUGUUAUAGAGGGUUUGUUCGCUUUUGUGCUUGUGUAUGGGUUUAUAGGUGUGGUUUUCGUGAAGGCUUCGCUUUCUUAAAAAAAAUUUGGUGUCCUCAGACAUGCUUCUUAUGCUCGUGAUUUGAAUUUGGAUUACAUGAAGUUGAUUGCUUUUUAAAUAUUUUUUGUUUAUAUACAUGUAAGCUAAAGUGUAGCUUACCUUUUGUGCAACAGAAGCUGCAGAUUUGCUCCAGAAGCUAUCACUGGAUCCUCAAGCUAAGACGGAAAAUUCACAGUCCACUAAGGUGUUUGCAAAUUGUAACAUUAGUGUUAGUACCUGUAGUCACAUAUGUGUUUUUAUCUCUGUGUCUAACCUUGUCUACUUACAGCCUAUUGUAGAUUCAGGUAAUGUGCCGAAUGGUCAGAUCCAAUCAUCUGAUCGGUCUUUGACACCGUUGUUACCUGAUCCCAUGGAUCCAACAAUGUGGUAUGCUAAUGGUUAUGCUCCAUAUUAUUACGGAGGUAAUUCUAUUAUUCUUAAUAUGAACUUUUUCUUAAAUGAUGAAGUGUUUAGAAUGGAAUAAAGCAUUUGCUUUUUUAAUACUUAUAUAAAGCAUUGGUAUACUCUGAAAAUCAGUUAAAAUAAUUUUUUUCUGGACAGGGUAUGAUGGGACUGGUAAUGGGUGGGAUGAUUACUCUAAUUACUUGAAGCCGGAUGGAGUCGAUAUGUCACAUGUAAGAUUUCAGUUCUGUCAUUUCAUAUUCUCUUUUAUUUUUAAGUAUCUUAGAACGUAAGUCUUCCUUUCCAUACCCAUUUUAUCUGCCAUAUCAUAAGAAUAGCCUAAACCGUACAAAGAAUUAUUACUUCUUAACUAACACAGGACAAACUUGUUCUAAUUUUUUGUUUGAUAUUCUAUAUCUCAAUUUUGCAUAUUAUUAGGGGGUGUAUGGUGGUUAUGGUUAUGCACCCUACGGUGCUUAUUCACCUGCGGGUACGCCUGUUCCUACACUUGGCCAUGAUGGUCAGCUUUAUGCAGCUCAACAGUACCAGUACCCGGCCUCUUAUUUUCAGCCUGCAGCUGCCCCUGCAAAAGGUGAUAUUUCAACCGCUGCACCCGCCGACCAACCAAUUUUGUCUAUUGAAACUCCUAAAGGGAAGCCUAAUGGCAUUGCAAAUAGUGGUGGUGUAAAAGGAAACAAAGGUUCAACAGCAUUGAAACCGACAUAUCAGAAUUCAUCUUAUAUUAGCUCAUCAUAUAAUGCAAAUAGCUCCAAUGGAACGGGUGUGUUCCCAGGAGGAGUUCCAGCUUCUGGAUAUGUUUAUGAUGCCUCACGAUCUUCUGUCCCUUGGUUUGAUGGUUCAGUCUACUCCAAUGGAAAGACCGGUCCAUUGAGUAGCACUUCCUUUAACCAAUAUACGUCCAAUGGGAAUGGUGUACCAGUG